rnacentral:tRNA from 1 species
GAUAUAGCUAACAAGUACACCACAUGCCUGGCAAGCAUGAGGUCCUGAGUUCAAUUCCCGGUAUC